rnacentral:rRNA from 1 species
UCGAGAAUCUUCGGCAAUGGGCGCAAGCCUGACCGAGCGACGCCGCGUGCGGGAUGAAGGCCUUCGGGUUGUAAACCGCUGUCGAAGGGGAGGAAAUUGUAGUGGGUUCACCCAUUAUAUUGACCGAUCCUUGGAGGAAGGGCCGGCUAAUCUCGUGCCAGCAGCCGCGGUAAUACGAGAGGCCCAAACGUUAUUCGGAUUUACUGGGCUUAAAGAGUUCGUAGGCGGUUCGGUAAGUGAGGUGUGAAAGCCCUCGGCUCAACCGAGGAAUUGCGCUUCAAACUGCCGGGCUCGAGGGAGAUAGAGGUGAGCGGAACUGAUGGUGGAGCGGUGAAAUGCGUUGAUAUCAUCAGGAACACCAGAGGCGAAGGCGGCUCACUGGGUCUCUUCUGACGCUGAGGAACGAAAGCUAGGGGAGCAAACGG